UGACCAGGCAAAUAAGGACUAAUGCUCAUUGAACAUAUGGCUGUACUGCUUAAUGUGGAGGCCCUCCUCUGAUAAGAAGUAAUUUUGAGCAGCUGGGUAGUCUUGGACUUGGUACAUCCUCCAGGGAAAGAAGAGUGAAAAUUCAUGACAAGACUGACAUUGCAAUUAACCGGAUGAUUGGUUCCCACAAAGAAUGGAGAUAAAAGAGGAAUAUCAGGCCAAUUACCUGGUGUUGAGCUAUGCUAGUACCUCCUGGAUCUAUAAAGCUCUGCAUCCAUGCAUGCAAGUUGGUG